rnacentral:rRNA from 1 species
UGGGGAAUUUUGGACAAUGGGCGAAAGCCUGAUCCAGCAAUGCCGCGUGUGUGAAGAAGGCCUUCGGGUUGUAAAGCACUUUUGUCCGGAAAGAAAUCCUUGGCUCUAAUACAGUCGGGGGAUGACGGUACCGGAAGAAUAAGCACCGGCUAACUACGUGCCAGCAGCCGCGGUAAUACGUAGGGUGCAAGCGUUAAUCGGAAUUACUGGGCGUAAAGCGUGCGCAGGCGGUUUGCUAAGACCGAUGUGAAAUCCCCGGGCUCAACCUGGGAACUGCAUUGGUGACUGGCAGGCUAGAGUAUGGCAGAGGGGGGUAGAAUUCCACGUGUAGCAGUGAAAUGCGUAGAGAUGUGGAGGAAUACCGAUGGCGAAGGCAGCCCCCUGGGCCAAUACUGACGCUCAUGCACGAAAGCGUGGGGAGCAAACAGGAUUAGAUACCCUGGUAGUCCACGCCCUAAACGAUGUCAACUAGUUGUUGGGGACUUCAUUUCCUUAGUAACGUAGCUAACGCGUGAAGUUGACCGCCUGGGGAGUACGGUCGCAAGAUUAAAA